rnacentral:piRNA from 1 species
UACUCCCUCGAGUGGAUCUUGUGCCA